rnacentral:rRNA from 1 species
UGCCUAUUGAUACUCCAUACUAGGUAAGUCCUGCCCAAUGAACACGUUUUAAAUGGCCGCGGGAACCCGUGCAAAGGUAGCGUAAUCAUUUGCCCUUUAAUUCAGGGCCUGUAUGAACGGAUCAACGAGAAAGAAGCUGUCUCCAGACAAGUCACUAAAACCUAUCCUUCAGGUGAAAAGACCUGAAUAACCAUAGAAGACAAAAAGACCCUGUCGCACUUAACCUAAUAUUAAUAACUUACUAAUCAAAUUAAUCAAAGGUUUGGUUGGGGCGACCCCAGAUACACUAAAACAUCUCUAUACCAACAGGUACACCAACCCAUUUUCAUGAUCCUAAAAAGACUAAAGAAUAAGCCACCGCAGGGAUAACAGGCUAAUCCCCUCUUAGAGCCCUAAUCGACGAGGGGGGUUGGCACCUCGAUGUUGGCUUAGGGUAACCUUUAGGCGCAGCCGUCUUAAAAGGAAGGUUUGUUCAACCUACUCCACCCU